UCUACUUUCCCCUUCUCUCUCUCCGACCGAUUUACUCCACCACCACGCCAUUGUUUCUUCAUCUUCUCUCUCUCUUCUCUCUCUCUCUCUCUCUCUCUCAGGAAAUCCUCAACGCUAUGAAGCCUGUGCUUCUUGAGUCAGAGAUGAUCAGGAAUGUUGAGUUCGAGAGAUUUCGGCUUUGGCAAGAUUAUGGUUGUUCCGGCCUCUGUUCUCCUCCUUCACUCCCCCAUAGCGUCACACUCUCGCACACCACACCGUCCACCCCAACUUCUUACCGAAAGCAUUUCACGGCAUCAGUGGUCGACGGUUAGCGGGGCCACUGCAUUGGGUUCGUUGGUGGAGGAAUUGGAAAAUAUGUGAUGUCGAAUAAGGGUUUCAGGGAAUAUAAGAAUAUUGAUUGUUGAUUUGAUUCAGGCAAGCUUGGCUCCCCGAUCCUGUUCUCUUUUAUUCACUGUCGGCAUGCAACAGCUUCGAAUGAGUAUUGAUUUAAUGCAGCCCAAGCAUGGAUUCUUAUGGUAUAAACCUAAUUUUCAGACAAUAUACUCUUGGGAGUGUGACAGAACAAGGAUGACUUGCAUAAGAAUGAAGAGUGUCUACCUCAAUAAGUUUCACGCGACUCUCGGUUAAGCCAUCCACUUGUUUCGGAACUACUGCUGCUGCUAUACUUCGAGCUGUUUACGCUACCAUCAUUCUUGCUGCCAUUGUGGAGGAAACUUGUUUUGCUGUCAUUGUGGAGGAAAUCUGAUCAGAGACAUCCAUUGUUUUCAUUGUUCCUGGCUACCACAAUUGAUGGAGAGCCAGUCAUUUCAACUUUCAUUGGUGUCUCAAUUACACAUCAUUGAAAAUUGUAUUUUUCUUUUGUGGGUGUACGUACUUUAUGGCUGGAACCUUGCCAACUAUUUAUGGUGUGGUCUUUAUGGGGCUUUGGGAUGGCAUAUGAUUGUCGGGCAUGUGGAGUGCCAACAUAGUUGGGAUACCAUUCUCCCGUUGUGAUGCCUUAUAUCCCUUCCCUUGUCCUGUACUCCUUACUUCGUUAUUAAUAAAAUUGUUUAUGCCUUUCAAAAAAAUAAUAAUAAUGAUGUUAGCCCAUUCUAAUGUUUUAUUUGGUAGAAUUUUAAGUUCCCAAGAAUGAAACUCAAAGGAAUUGACUGGGGCCCGCACAAGCAGUGGAUCAUGUGGUUUAAUUCGAUGCAAAGCGAAGAACCUUACCAGGGCUUGACAUGCCAUGAACCCUCUUGAAAGAGAGGGGCGCCUUCAGGAACGCAGACACAGGUAUAACAUAUGCUGCAAGGUUGUACAGAGACUGAUUGACCAUAGAUGACUCCUUACCAAAUGAAGGAACAACGGACAUCCCCAACGACAACAAAUAGUCAACUCCUUCCAUCAACUUCACAGAAACUAGAACCACAACUCCAAGGCAAACCCUUUGACCUGCAGAACUCCCAAUCCAAAUUCUUGUGUACUUGAAACUCUCCAUUAAACUUAUGCAGCCUAAUUCUAUUAGGCCUUUUGUAAUCGAAGUCCUUCAGCCUAAUUUUGUUAGGCCUUUUGUAAUCAUAAAUAUGUCGUACUUAUGUAUAAAUAAACCUCUUCAUCAAACUUAUUUAUAUGUCGUUCAAUGGGCAUGACAGACGUGCAAGGCACGUC